GGCUCAGUAGCUUAAUUAGCAAAGUGCCCGUCUAACAUACAAGAGUCGAGGGUUCGAAUCCCACCUGAAACC
rnacentral:tRNA from 1 species